rnacentral:rRNA from 1 species
GACGAACCGUGCAAACGUUAUUCGGAAUCACUGGGCAUAAAGGGCGCGUAGGCGGCUUUCUAAGUCAGGGGUGAAAUCCGGCAGCUCAACUGUCGCAGUGCCUUUGAUACUGGAGAGCUCGAGGGAGGUAGGGGUCUGUGGAACUUCCGGUGGAGCGGUGAAAUGCGUUGAUAUCGGAAGGAACGCCGGUGGCGAAGGCGGGACUCUGGGCCGAUACUGACGCUGAGGAGCGAAAGCGUGGGGAGCGAACAGG